rnacentral:rRNA from 1 species
CCGGCGCGCUAUCAUGCAAGUCGAGCGGAUCUUCAUUAGCUUGCUUUUGAAGAUCAGCGGCGGACGGGUGAGUAACACGUGGGCAACCUGCCUGUAAGACUGGGAUAACUUCGGGAAACCGGAGCUAAUACCGGAUAAUCCUUUCCCUCACAUGAGGGAAAGCUGAAAGACGGUUUCGGCUGUCACUUACAGAUGGGCCCGCGGCGCAUUAGCUAGUUGGUGAGGUAACGGCUCACCAAGGCAACGAUGCGUAGCCGACCUGAGAGGGUGAUCGGCCACACUGGGACUGAGACACGGCCCAGACUCCUACGGGAGGCAGCAGUAGGGAAUCUUCCGCAAUGGACGAAAGUCUGACGGAGCAACGCCGCGUGAACGAUGAAGGCUUUCGGGUCGUAAAGUUCUGUUGUUAGGGAAGAACAAGUACCGGAGUAACUGCCGGUACCUUGACGGUACCUAACCAGAAAGCCACGGCUAACUACGUGCCAGCAGCCGCGGUAAUACGUAGGUGGCAAGCGUUGUCCGGAAUUAUUGGGCGUAAAGCGCGCGCAGGCGGUUCCUUAAGUCUGAUGUGAAAGCCCCCGGCUCAACCGGGGAGGGUCAUUGGAAACUGGGGAACUUGAGUGCAGAAGAGGAGAGCGGAAUUCCACGUGUAGCGGUGAAAUGCGUAGAGAUGUGGAGGAACACCAGUGGCGAAGGCGGCUCUCUGGUCUGUAACUGACGCUGAGGCGCGAAAGCGUGGGGAGCGAACAGGAUUAGAUACCCUGGUAGUCCACGCCGUAAACGAUGAGUGCUAAGUGUUAGAGGGUUUCCGCCCUUUAGUGCUGCAGCAAACGCAUUAAGCACUCCGCCUGGGGAGUACGGCCGCAAGGCUGAAACUCAAAGGAAUUGACGGGGGCCCGCACAAGCGGUGGAGCAUGUGGUUUAAUUCGAAGCAACGCGAAGAACCUUACCAGGUC